rnacentral:rRNA from 1 species
GAUGAACGCUGGCGGUGUGCCUAAUACAUGCAAGUCGAGCGAACGGACGAUAAGCUUGCUUCUCUGAUGUUAGCGGCGGACGGGUGAGUAACACGUGGAUAACCUACCUAUAAGACUUGGAUAACUUCGUGAAACCGCUGCUAAUACCGGAUAAUAUGUUGAACCGCAUGGUUCAAAAGUUAAAGACGGUCUUCCUGUCACUUAGAGAUGGAGCCGCGCUGCAUUAGCUAGUUGGUAAGGUAACGGCUUACCAAGGCAACGAUGCAUAGCCGACCUGAGAGGGUGAUCAGCCACACUGGAACUGAGACACGGUCCAGACUCCUACGGGAGGCAGCAGUAGGGAAUCUUCCGCAAUGGGCGAAAGCCUGACGGAGCAAUGCCGCGUGAGUGAUGAAGGUCUUCGGAUCGUAAAACUCUGUUAUUAGGGAAGAACAUAUGUGUAAGUAACUGUGGACAUCUUGACGGUACCUAAUCAGAAAGCCACGGCUAACUACGUG